CCUACGGGUGGCAGCAGUGGGGAAUAUUGGGCAAUGGGCGGAAGCCUGACCCAGCAACGCCGCGUGAAGGAAGAAGGCUUUCGGGUUGUAAACUUCCUUUGUCAGGGACGAAGCAAGUGACGGUACCUGACGAAUAAGCCACGGCUAUCUACGAGCCAGCAGCCGCGGUAAUACGUAGGGGGCAAGCGUUAUCCGGAUUUACUGGGUGUAAAGGGCGUGUAGGCGGGGAAGGAAGGCAGAUGGGAAAACCACGGGCUCAACCUGUGGCCUGCAUUUGAAACUGUUUUUCUUGAGUGCUGGAGAGGCAAUCGGAAUGCCGGGUGUAGCGGUGAAAUGCGUAGAUAUACGGAGGAACACCGAUUGCGAAGGCGGAUUACUGGACAGUAACUGACGCUGAGGCACGAAAGCGUGGGGAGCAAACAGGAUUAGAUACCCUUGUAGUC
rnacentral:rRNA from 1 species